GUGCUUGCUUCGGCAGUACAUAUACUAAAACUGAAAUGAUACAGAGAAGAUUAGCAUGGCCUCUGCACAAGGAUGACACAAAUUCGUGAAGUGUUCCUUAUUUUU
rnacentral:snRNA from 1 species